GAUGAGCGCUGGCGGCGUGCCUAACACAUGCAAGUCGAGCGAAGCACUUUGCUUGGAUUCUUCGGAUGAAGAGGAUUGUGACUGAGCGGGCGACGGGUGAAGGUAACGCGUGGGUAACCGUGCCUCAUACAGGGGGAUAACAGUUAGAAAUGACUGCUAAUACCGCAUAAGACCACAGCACCGCAUGGUGCAGGGGUAAAAACUCCGGUGGUAUGAGAUGGACCCGCGUCUGAUUAGCCAGUUGGCGGGGUAACGGCCCACCAAAGCGACGAUCGGUAGCCGGACUGAGAGGUUGAACGGCCACAUUGGGACUGAGACACGGCCCAG
rnacentral:rRNA from 1 species